GACAGAGGGUGCAAACGUUGUUCGGAAUUACUGGGCGUAAAGCGCGUGUAGGCGGCUAUGUAAGUCGGGCGUGAAAUCCCACGGCUCAACCGUGGAAGUGCACCCGAAACUGCGUAGCUAGAGUCCUGGAGAGGAAGGUGGAAUGCUUGGUGUAGAGGUGAAAUUCGUAGAUAUCAAGCGGAACACCGGUGGCGAAGGCGGCCUUCUGGACCGGCAUUGACGCUGAGGCGCGAAAGCCAGGGGAGCAAACGGG
rnacentral:rRNA from 1 species